UACGUAGGGGGGCUAGCGUUGUCCGGAUUUAUUGGGCGUAAAGAGCGUGUAGGCGGCCAGGUAGGUCUGCUGUGAAAACUCGAGGCUCAACCUCGAGACGUCGGCGGAAACCAUCUGGCUAGAGUCCGGAAGAGGAGAGUGGAAUUCCUGGUGUAGCGGUGAAAUGCGCAGAUAUCAGGAAGAACACCCGUGGCGAAGGCGGCUCUCUGGGACGGUACUGACGCUGAGACGCGAAAGCGUGGGGAGCAAACAGG
rnacentral:rRNA from 1 species